AGCAGCCGCGGUAAUUCCAGCUCCAAUAGCGUAUAUUAAAGUUGUUGCAGUUAAAAGCUCGUAGUUGAAUUUCGGGAUCAAGUCGUCGGUCGUGCUCAGGUACGUACUGGCGUCAUUGAUUUCUCCCUUCUGACGAACCAUGAUGUCAUUAAUUUGGUGUCAUGGGAAAUCAGGACUGUUACUUUGAAAAAUUAGAGUGUUUAAAGCAGGCUCACGCUUGAAUACAUUAGCAUGGAAUAAUGAAAUAGGACGUUCGAUCCUAUUUUUGUUGGUUUCUAGGAUUGACGUAAUGAUUAAUAGGGAUAGUUGGGGCAUUAGUAUUCAA
rnacentral:rRNA from 1 species